rnacentral:rRNA from 1 species
GACGAACGCUGGCGGCAAGCUUAACACAUGCAAGUCGAACGCCGUAGCAAUACGGAGUGGCAGACGGGUGAGUAACACGUGGGAACGUGCCUUUCGGUUCGGAACAACUGAGGGAAACUUCAGCUAAAACCGGAUACGCCCUUCGGGGGAAAGUUUACGCCGAAAGAUCGGCCCGCGUCAGAUUAGGUAGUUGGCGGGGUAAUGGCCCACCAAGCCGAUGAUCUGUAGCUGUUCUGAGAGGAAGAUCAGCCACACUGGGACUGAGACACGGCCCAGAAUCCUACGGGAGGCAGCAGUGGGGAAUAUUGGACAAUGGGGGCAAGCCUGAUCCAGCUAUGCCGCGUGGAUGAAGAAGGCCUUCGGGUUGUAAAGUCCUUUCGGCGGGGAAGAUAAUGACGGUACCCGCAGAAGAAGCCCCGGCUAAUUUCGUGCCAGCCGCCGCAGUAACAC